rnacentral:rRNA from 1 species
ACGAACGCUGGCGGCGUGCCUAAUACAUGCAAGUCGAACGGCUUUUCUAUGGAAGCUUGCUUCCACUGAGAAGAUAGUGGCGAACGGGUGAGUAACACGUGGGUAACCUGCCCAUAAGAGGGGGGAUAACAUCCGGAAACGGGUGCUAAUACCGCAUAGUUUUUCUUGAUUGCAUGAUUGAGAAAGGAAAGACGGCCUUUGUGCUGUCGCUUAUGGAUGGACCCGCGGCGUAUUAGUUAGUUGGUGAGGUAACGGCUCACCAAGACGAUGAUACGUAGCCGACCUGAGAGGGUGAUCGGCCACAUUGGGACUGAGACACGGCCCAAACUCCUACGGGAGGCAGCAGUAGGGAAUCUUCCGCAAUGGACGAAAGUCUGACGGAGCAACGCCGCGUGAGUGAAGAAAAGGGUUUUCGGAUCGUAAAACUCUGUUGUCAGAGAAGAACAAGUUGGAGAGUAACUGCUCCAGCCUUGACGGUAUCUGACCAGAAAGCCACGGCUAACUACGUGCCAGCAGCCGC